UACGAAGGGUGCAAGCGUUACUCGGAAUUACUGGGCGUAAAGCGUGCGUAGGUGGUGAGUUAAGUCUGUCGUGAAAGCCCCGGGCUCAACCUGGGAAUGGCGAUGGAUACUGGCUCGCUAGAGUGCGGUAGAGGAGAGGUGGAAUUCCCGGUGUAGCAGUGAAAUGCGUAGAGAUCGGGAGGAACAUCAGUUGCGAAGGCGGCUCUCUGGACCAGCACUGACACUGAGGCACGAAAGCGUGGGGAGCAAACAGG
rnacentral:rRNA from 1 species